UACGGAGGGUGCGAGCGUUGUCCGGAAUCAUUGGGCGUAAAGGGCGCGUAGGUGGCUUCUUAAGCGUGCGGUGAAAGCCUGGGGCUCAACCCCGGGUCGGCCGUGCGAACUGGGGGGCUGGAGCACUGUAGAGGCGGGUGGAAUUCCGGGUGUAGCGGUGGAAUGCGUAGAGAUCCGGAAGAACACCAGUGGCGAAGGCGGCCCGCUGGGGGUGACCUGACGCUGAGGAGCGAAAGCGUGGGGAGCGAACAGG
rnacentral:rRNA from 1 species